AUACGUAGGGUGCAAGCGUUGUCCGGAAUUAUUGGGCGUAAAGAGCUCGUAGGCGGUUUGUCGCGUCUGCUGUGAAAACCCGAGGCUCAACCUCGGGCCUGCAGUGGGUACGGGCAGACUAGAGUGCGGUAGGGGAGAUUGGAAUUCCUGGUGUAGCGGUGGAAUGCGCAGAUAUCAGGAGGAACACCAAUGGCGAAGGCAGAUCUCUGGGCCGUAACUGACGCUGAGGAGCGAAAGCGUGGGGAGC
rnacentral:rRNA from 1 species